CGGGAGUAACGCGUGGGUAACCUGCCUCAUACAGGGGGAUAACAGUUAGAAAUGACUGCUAAUACCGCAUAAGCGCACAGUGCUGCAUGGCACAGUGUGAAAAACUCCGGUGGUAUGAGAUGGACCCGCGUCUGAUUAGCUAGUUGGUGGGGUAACGCCUACCAAGGCGACGAUCAGUAGCCGGCCUGAGAGGGUGAACGGCCACAUUGGGACUGAGACACGGCCCAA
rnacentral:rRNA from 1 species